GAUCAUGGCUCAGGACGAACGCUGGCGGCGUGCUUAACACAUGCAAGUCGAACGGUGAAGCUGGUGCUUGCACCAGUGGAGCAGUGGCGAACGGGUGAGUAACACGUGAGUAACCUGCCCCUGACUUUGGGAUAACCGCGGGAAACCGUGGCUAAUACUGGAUAUGACACAUGCAGGCAUCUGUGUGUGUGGAAAGAUUUAUCGGUUGGGGAUGGGCUCGCGGCCUAUCAGUUUGUUGGUGGGGUAAUGGCCUACCAAGGCGACGACGGGUAGCCGGCCUGAGAGGGCGACCGGCCACACUGGGACUGAGACACGGCCCAGACUCCUACGGGAGGCAGCAGUGGGGAAUAUUGGACAAUGGGCGAAAGCCUGAUCCAGCGACGCCGCGUGAGGGACGACGGCCUUCGGGUUGUAAACCUCUUUCAGCAGGGAAGAAGCGAGAGUGACGGUACCUGUAGAAGAAGCGCCGGCUAACUACGUGCCAGCCGCGGC
rnacentral:rRNA from 1 species